rnacentral:misc_RNA from 1 species
CAAAAAAUAAUGGGAAAUAUGAUGGACAACCUAUUUAUGAGGAGUCUUACCUCUAAAUCCAAGGCUCGUGCUUCAGAUGCCUCAGUGCCAUCAUCUCCAGUUAAGGUUCCUGAUGCCGUGGAGCCUGAUGCUAAAGAUGAGGAAGAAAGUCCACUGAUGGCAACUAUUAGGGGCAAAUGCAUAACUCAGCUAUUACUUCUUGGUGCUAUGGAUAAUAUUCAGAAGAAGUACUGGAGCAACUUAAAAGCACCACAGAAGAUUGCUAUAAUGGACAUUUUAUUAACUAUGUUAGAGUUUGCUGCUUCAUAUAAUUC